AUUGCAUUUCGUAAGUUUUGAAUAAAAAUAAAAAAAUCCUUUUUUAUCAGUUUAAUAUCUGAUACGCGCCCUAUCUGGGUGCCAAAUAUUAAAUGGAUUUUUGAAACAGGGAGAUGGAAGAAGAGCUUGCUCUGUCCACUCCACGCAUUGACCUGGUAUUGCAGUACCGGUACACCCCUCUCUUU